UGUCAAAUAGCUCAGUUGGGAGAGCGUUAGACAACGGAUCGAAAAGUCCCUGGUUCGAUCCCGGUUCCGGCAA
rnacentral:tRNA from 1 species